GAGGUGGGAGGACUGCUUGAGCCUGGGAGGUUGAGGCUGUAGUGAGUUGUGAUCAUGCCACUUCACUCCAGCCUGAGCAACAGAGCAAGACCCUGUCUCA
rnacentral:miRNA from 1 species